AGACCAGCGAUAAGAAUGUUUGCACAGCCGUGGAAGUCAUGCUACGCUUGGCAGAAAUCACUGCAACAUCAAGGAUCCCACAGUAAUACUCCAUGAAAUUAGGAGGCAUCUUAUUGGCGUGGAGUCAUUAGUCACAGGCGUGUCAGGACAGCCUCCAUCUUCACCCCUUUGCAGCUGUAAAGAUUUAAGAUGAAAAGCAUAUCGACAUUUAUCCUCAAAUGGCGACUGAAGAAACGGCUUUGAUUGCUAAUGAGGAGGAAGAGCCAUCAAAAAAGAUUUCCUGUUUGUGUUGCUGUCCCCAAGAGCCACCUCGAGGAAGCACCUGACGUGUAACCACACAAUGAUGAAGGUUGAUCUCCCAUUCAUAUUUCAAGAGACUGCUGUGCAACUUCAAGGAUCAUAUGGGGCUUGCAAGGACGGAAUAUUGCUCACUAUGCAAAUAUAUA